GGUAAAAGAAAAUUACAUAUGGGUGAUUGAAGUCUCUUAUCAAUAUGCCCUGUUGGACUGGAAGAGGGGACAAAAAAAUUGGAUAGAGCGGCAUGAUCAAAACAUACAGGAUAUGUAAUAUGGGCAUGGUGUAAAAGAGAGAAGAGUUCUAGAGAACAUAGAAAGUGAUCUGGACGAGAAUUAGAUAGAUUGUCAUAUCCUUUAUAUGUCCGUUGACCCGAGUCUCCAUCUACAUGUCCUGUAGUUAUGAGAAGCUUGUAAGUAGCUGCCAAAUCAAGGAAGCGUAUGCCCGCUCUGUUAACUUGAGAGCACCGAGAUUGCCUAUUAUGAGUAAGGUAAGGAUGUCGUGAGAGAAACUCAUAAUGUAUAUCAGAAAGUUCUUUUCUGUUGGCAAUAUGGGCAUUGAAAUCCUCACCAAUAAGAAUAUGUGGUGUUUGUGAAUAAGCCUGAAAAAUCUCUUCACCUAGGGAGAAGUAGAGAUUAUCGAUUUGUUCCGGUGAGGUAUUUUGGCUCUCAGGGUUCACAUAUGAAGCACAUAAGUAAACAUCUCUAUCCAGCCCAAACAGUUCCGCAUGUGCCCUAACCCAAAGAGUUUGUAAUUGAUCAGAGAUACAUAACAAGGUAAGGUAAUCUUGAUAAAUAGUGGUGGCAAUUAUAGCAACCCCAAAUCCUUUAUGUCCCUCCCUGCGAGAAGGUAUACGAGUGUGUCCAAGAAGAAAGUGCCUGGGAAGGUGUUGUAGGAGUCGUUCAUACUGAGAGGUCCUGGUCUCUUGCAGAAAAAUGAUAUGAUGUGAAGAAAUAAUACGAACCAGGUUCUCCAGUUUGAUUGAUUCAGGGUCAGCAGGUAUACCAUCACAGUUAAGGGUAACAAAGGAAAGUGGAGACUGGAGGCCAACCACCUAUUGGGUGCCA
rnacentral:lncRNA from 1 species